CAGUCGCCGCGGGAAUACGAAGGGGGCUAGCGUUGCUCGGAAUGACUGGGCGUAAAGGGCGCGUAGGCGGCGAUCAAAGCCAGGCGUGAAAUUCCUGGGCUCAACCUGGGGGCUGCGCUUGAUACUUGGUUGCUUGAGUGGGGAAGAGGGUCGUGGAAUUCCCAGUGUAGAGGUGAAAUUCGUAGAUAUUGGGAAGAACACCGGUGGCGAAGGCGGCGACCUGGUCCUUGACUGACGCUGAGGCGCGAAAGCGUGGGGAGCAAACAGGAUUAGAUACCCCCGUAGUCCCUGUCUCUUAUAC
rnacentral:rRNA from 1 species